AGAAUUUCUUCCCAUAACGAUGACAAUUUUGGUAAGUGAAGAUGGAAUGUGUAGCGACCCGACUCACGCUCGGCACCAUCUCGGUUCCGGGUCGGAUGGUGUGAAAUUUGCUACCGGCUGCCAAGGUGUGAGGGACCAGGCACCUGGCAGAAAUUGUGCGACUGAAUCCAAAUCUUCAUUUAAUUUCAGAAAA
rnacentral:lncRNA from 1 species